AUUGAACGCUGGCGGCAUGCCUUACACAUGCAAGUCGAACGGUAACAGGUCUUCGGAUGCUGACGAGUGGCGAACGGGUGAGUAAUACAUCGGAACGUGCCUAGUAGUGGGGGAUAACUACUCGAAAGAGUGGCUAAUACCGCAUGAGAUCUACGGAUGAAAGCAGGGGAUCGCAAGACCUUGUGCUACUAGAGCGGCCGAUGGCAGAUUAGGUAGUUGGUGGGAUAAAAGCUUACCAAGCCGACGAUCUGUAGCUGGUCUGAGAGGACGAUCAGCCACACUGGGACUGUGAAACUGCCAAGAGUCCUACGGGAGGCAGCAGUGGGGAAUUUUGGACAAUGGGCGAAAGCAUGAUCCAGCAAUGCCGCGUGCAGGAUGAAGGCCUUCGGGUUGUAAACUGCUUUUGUACGGAACGAAAAGCCCCGGGUUAAUACCCUGGGGUCAUGACGGUACCGUAAGAAUAAGCACCGGCUAACUACGUGCCAGCCGCCGCGGUAA
rnacentral:rRNA from 1 species